rnacentral:rRNA from 1 species
UACGUAGGGUGCGAGCGUUAAUCGGAAUUACUGGGCGUAAAGCGUGCGCAGGCGGUUCGUUGUGUCGGCGGUGAAAUCCCCGGGCUCAACCUGGGAAUGGCCGUUGAAACUGGCGAACUGGAGUGUGGCAGAGGGGGGGUGGAAUUCCGCGUGUAGCAGUGAAAUGCGUAGAGAUGCGGAGGAACACCGAUGGCGAAGGCAGCCCCCUGGGCUGACACUGACGCUCAGGCACGAAAGCGUGGGGAGCAAACAGG